AGCGAACGCUGGCGGCAGGCCUAACACAUGCAAGUCGAACGAACCUUUCGGGGUGAGUGGCGGACGGGGGAGUAACAGGGGGGAACGCGCCUGUAGGCUCGGAAGAACUCAGGGAAACUAGUGCUAAUACCGAAUGUGCCCUUCGGGGGAAAGAUUAAUCGCCUUUAGAGCGGCCCGCGUCUGAUUAGCUAGUUGGUUGAGGUAAUGGCUCACCAAGGCGACGAUCAGUAGCUGGUCUGAGAGGAUGAUCAGCCACAUUGGGACUGAGACACGGCCCAAACUCCUACGGGAGGCGGCAGUGGGGAAUCUUGCGCAAUGGGCGAAAGCCUGACGCAGCCAGGCCGCGUGAAUGAUGAAGGUCUUAGGAUUGUAAAAUUCUUUCACCGGGGACGAUAAUGACGGUACCGGGAGAAGAAGCCCCGGCUAACAUCGU
rnacentral:rRNA from 1 species